AUACUUUUAGUUUAUAAAAAAUUAAUUGUUUACACCAAUUAGAAAUCUCUUUAGGUAAAGUAUA
rnacentral:tRNA from 1 species